GACGAACGCUGGCGGCGUGCUUAACACAUGCAAGUCGAACGGAAAGGCCCUGCUUUUGUGGGGUGCUCGAGUGGCGAACGGGUGAGUAACACGUGAGUAACUUGCCCUUGACUUUGGGAUAACUUCAGGAAACUGGGGCUAAUACCGGAUAGGAGCUCCUGCUGCAUGGUGGGGGUUGGAAAGUUUCGGCGGUUGGGGAUGGACUCGCGGCUUAUCAGCUUGUUGGUGGGGUAGUGGCUUACCAAGGCUUUGACGGGUAGCCGGCCUGAGAGGGUGACCGGCCACAUUGGGACUGAGAUACGGCCCAGACUCCUACGGGAGGCAGCAGUGGGGAAUAUUGCACAAUGGGCGGAAGCCUGAUGCAGCACCGCCGCGUGCUGGAUGACGGCCUUCGGGUUGUAAACCGCUUUCGCCUGUGACGAAGCGUGAGUGACGGUAAUGGGUAAAGAAGCACCGGCUAACUACGUG
rnacentral:rRNA from 1 species